UAGUGGUCUACCAGAGAGGGCACAUGUGCCUCAAUUGGCCUAUAGCAUAGGGGCUCAUUAUCCUUCCACCGCUGGUGGCGGGCGGUACUCGCUGCUCUAUGAAACCAGCCUCACGCAAUGUCCGCCACUUUAGGUGUUGGGAUGCAAAGGCUUUCGCCAAGGCACCCGAAACCCACUACAUAACUUGGAAUGGGUAGUCCACAGUUUGUAGCACUAGACCCAGGCACAUGCACCACAAUUGACAUCCACACUACCUUAUUGCCCCCGCUCGGGUUACAAGCAAUCGCUAUUUGCUCAGCGAGUGAGGGGGUUCAGGACUACCUAUUUAAGGUGGUGUUGUACUCUAUGAGCCGACGGUGUGGUAUUUACCAACAACAAAUAGUGUCAUGCAUGUGACUUGCUAGUUGACAAAGUCUGUUGUCGAGCUAGAUGUGGGCUAUGGCUGAAGCACAUUAGGAUAUAAUAUGCCUAUUUUGUUUUUUUGUUGUUUUUUGGGCCACGAUGGACAUUAUGUUGAUGUAGUGAAAUUUUUUCUUGUGUUUCCUCUUCCUACGAAGUGGAAAGUGGGUGCGUCAGAGAAGAAAGAAAGAGUGGCUAGCAUUGAUUUUACGUCAUCCCAUUGAGAUUACUAAUCAAAAGCAGAAGCAACAAUAUUUCAUGCAUAUACAACACUUGUAAUCCAUAUAAACAACUUUCCUUUAAAAUAUAAUAUAAACCACAUGAUUUAUAUCCUAGGUCGGAUAUCUCCACAAAGGGCAUGAAAACGCUCCUAGGUUUGUAGUAUAGAACUAAGAGUGUCUACUCUCACGAUUUCUUCCCGACAUAUGCAAACUAGACAGUAAUCACAUAAAAUAAAGAAAUAUGUGUUAACAUGAACUUAUAGCAUGUAUUUCAACCUAUAGAUUGUUGAUUAUUAUGGUAGAUUAUAUAAUAUAGGGGUUCCCGAAGAAAUACAUAAAAACCAAGAGCAUUAAAAUUUCCUUUUCAGAUUUGGCUAUCUGGUAAAAGGAGUUGGAGUAUCUGAGUUUCCAAAUUUGGGACGUAGCUCUAUAGAACGAAUAUAAAUACGUUGGAAAAAAUUCUACAAGGAAAGGUUUAAUACAAGUAGGGCUAAGAAAAACUCAAUGAGGCUUUGGUCGCAUGGUCACAAGACUUGAGACAAGAAACACGAAGACAACAAGGUAAUUAGUAUGAGAGUUUUCCAAAUUUGGUGUCUUGAUGUAGAAAAAAUAAAUAUAUGACAAACAUGUUUUUUGCAAGGCAUGGUAAAAUAAGUGGGAGUGAGCAAUAAAUUUUAUCAUAGAUUUAGAAGGAAUAAAUAUAUCACUAAAUACGUUUUUUCACAAUGCCAAGUUAAUCAGGCGGGACCGAGAAACAAUUGUAGUAAAGCUAGGUUGUACUAGCCCAAAACUACAUACAACAGAGGAAAAAUGAAGAAAAUGAUGGUCUACCAAAUAUGGCGCAUGAGCCUUAAGGUGCACCUAGAGGGAAGUAGAAGAAAUAAAUAUAUAAUAGGAUAUGUUUUUCGCAAAGCUAGGUGAAGUGUAGAUGUGCUCUAACUAGACUUAGAUUGCAGCGAUACAUUAUGCAUCCACAAGGCUUGGUUGCUCAUGGAAAAAGAUAGAGAGAGAAAUGUAGACGCAGGACCGGGAGAAAAACAUUCAAUGAGACGUGAUUGCACGGACAUAGAACUAGAUAUAAGACAAGAGUUAAAGAAAAAUAAAGGAACUAAAUUUUCUUCUGCACACUAAGCAUGAAUGGAGUUGUAGUAUCUGAGAUCAAAAUUUAAUUUAUUCCAAGAUGUAGAACAAAAACGUGAUACUCGUAAUGGUUACAUAGGAACAAAAGUAGAUAAGAAAAAUAGCAAAAAGAUAGUGGUCUACCAGAGAGGGCACAUGUGCCUCAAUUGGCCUAUAGCAUAGCGACUCAUUAUCCUUCCACCGCUGGUGGCGGGCGGUACUCGCUGCUCUGUGAAGCCAGCCUCACGCAAUGUCCGCCACUUUAGGUGUUGGGAUGCAAAGGCUUUCGCCAAGGCAUCCAAAACCCACUACACAACUUGGAAUGGGUGGUCCACAGUUUGUAGCACUAGACCCAGGCGCAUGCACCACAAUUGACAUCCACACUACCUUAUUGCCCCUGUUCGGGUUACAAGCAAUCGCUACUUGCUCAGCGAGUGAGGGGGGUCAGGACUACCUGUUUAAGGUGGUGAUGUACUCUAUGAGCCGGCGGUGUGGUAUUUACCAACAACAAAUAGUGUCAUGCAUGUGACUUGCUAGUUGACAAAGUCUAUUGUCGAGAUAGAUAUGGGCUAUGGCUGAAGCACAUUUGGAUAUAGUAGGCCUAUUUUGUUUUUUGUUGUUUUUGGGCCACUAUGGACUUUAUGUUGAUGUUGUUUAAUUUUUUCUUGUGUUUCCUCUUCCUACGAUGUGGAAAGUGGGUGCGUCAGAGAAGAAAGAAAGAGUGGCUAGCAUUGAUUUUACGUCAUACCAUUGAGAACACUAAUCAGAAGCAGAAGCAACAAUAUUUCAUACAUAUACAACAGUUGUAAUCCAUAUAAACAACUUUCCUUUAAAAUAUAAUAUAAACCACAUGAUUUAUAUCCUGGGUCGGCUAUCUCCACAAAGGGCAAGAAAACGCUCCAAGUUUGUAGUAUAGAACUAAAAGUGUCGAUUCUCACGAUUUCUUCCCGACAUAUACAAACUAGACAGUAAUCACACAAAAUAAAGAAAUAUGUGUUAACACGAACUUAUAGCAUGUAUUUCAACAUAUAGACUAUUGAUUAUUAUGGUAGAUUAUAUAAAAUAGGGGUUCCCGAAGAAAUACAUAAAAACAAGAGCAUUAAAAUUUCCUUUUCAGAUCUGGCUAUCUAGUAAAAGGAGUUGGAGUAACUGAGUUUCCAAAUUUGUGACGUAGCUCUAUAGAAGGAAUAUAAACACGUUGGAAAAAUUCUACAAGGAAAGGUCUAAUACAAGUAGGGCUAAGAAAAACUCAAUGAGGCUUUGGUCGCAUGGUCACAAAACUUGAGACAAGAAACACGAAGACACCAAGGUAAUUAGUAUGAGAGUUUUCCAAAUUUGGUGUCUUGAUGUAGAAAAAAUAAAUAUAUGACAAACUUGUUUUUUCGCAAGGCAUGGAUAAAUAAGUGGGGGUGAGCAAUAAAUUUCAUCAUAGAUUUAGAAGGAAUAAAUAUAUCACUAAAUACGUUUUUUUCACAAUGCCAAGUUAACCAGGCGGGACCGAGAAACAUUUCUAGCCAGGCUAGGUUGUACUAGCCCGAAACUACAUACAACAGAGGAAAAAUGAAGAAAAUGAUGGUCUACCAAAUAGGGCGCAUGAGCCUUAAGGUGCACCUAGAGGGAAGUAGAAGAAAUAAAUAUAUAAUAGCAUAUGUUUUUCGCAAUGCAAGGUAAAGUGUAGAUGUGCUCUAACUGGGCUUAGAUUGCAGCGACACAUUAUGCAUCUACAAGGCUUGGUUGCACAUGGAAAAAGAUAGAGAGAGAAAUGUAGACGCAGGACCGGGAGAAAAACAUUCAAUGAGACAUGAUUGCACGGACAUAGAACUAGAUAUAAGACAAGAGUUAAAGAAAAAUAAAGGAACUAAAUUUUCUUCUGCACACUAAGCAUGAAUGGAGUUGUAGUAUCAGAGAUCAAAAUUUAAUUUAUUCCAAGAUGCAGAACAAAAACGUGAUACUCGUAAUGGUUACAUAGGAACAAAAGUAGAUAAGAAAAAUAGCAAAAAGAUAGUGGUCUACCAGAGAGGGCACAUGUGCCUCAAUUGGCCUAUAGCAUAGCGACUCAUUAUCCUUCCACCGCUGGUGGCGGGCGAUACUCGCUGCUCUGUGAAGCCAGCCUCACGCAAUGUCCGCCACUUUAGGUGUUGGGAUGCAAAGGCUUUCUCCAAGGCAUCCGAAACCCACUACACAACUUGGAAUGGGUGGUCCACAGUUUGUUGCACUAGACCCAGGCACAUGCACCACAAUUGACAUCCACACUACCUUAUUGCCCCCGCUCGGGUUACAAGCAAUCGCUACUUGCUCAGCGAGUGAGGGGGUUCAAGACUACCUAUUUAAGGUGGUGUUGUACUCUAUGAGCCGACAGUGUGGUAUUUACCAACUACAAAUAGUGUCAUGCAUGUGACUUGCUAGUUGACAAUGUCUGUUGUCGAGCUAGAUGUGGGCUAUGGAUGAAGCACAUUAGGAUAUAGUAGGCCUAUUUUGUUUUUUGUUGUUUUUGGGCCACUAUGGACUUUAUGUUGAUGUUGUGAAAUUUUUUCCUGUGUUUCCUCUUCCUACGAUGUGGAAAGUGGGUGCGUCAGAGAAGAAAGAAAGAGUAGCUAGCAUUGAUUUUACGUCAUACCAUUGAGAACACUAAUCAGAAGCAGAAGCAACAAUAUUUCAUACAUAUACAACACUUGUAAUCCAUAUAAACAACUUUCCUUUAAAAUAUAAUAUAAACCACAUGAUUUAUAUCCUGGGUCGGCUAUCUCCACAAAGGGCAAGAAAACGCACCAAGUUUGUAGUAUAGAACUAAAAGUGUCGAUUCUCACGAUUUCUUCCCGACAUAUACAAACUAGACAGUAAUCACAUAAAAUAAAGAAAUAUGUGUUAACACGAACUUAUAGCAUGUAUUUCAACAUAUAGACUAUUGAUUAUUAUGGUAGAUUAUAUAAAAUAGGGGUUCCCGAAGAAAUACAUAAAAACAAGAGCAUUAAAAUUUCCUUUUCAGAUCUGGCUAUCUAGUAAAAGGAGUUGGAGUAACUGAGUUUCCAAAUUUGUGACGUAGCUCUAUAGAAGGAAUAUAAACACGUUGGAAAAAUUCUACAAGGAAAGGUCUAAUACAAGUAGGGCUAAGAAAAACUCAAUGAGGCUUUGGUCGCAUGGUCACAAAACUUGAGACAAGAAACACGAAGACACCAAGGUAAUUAGUAUGAGAGUUUUCCAAAUUUGGUGUCUUGAUGUAGAAAAAAUAAAUAUAUGACAAACUUGUUUUUUCGCAAGGCAUGGAUAAAUAAGUGGGGGUGAGCAAUAAAUUUCAUCCUAGAUUUAGAAGGAAUAAAUAUAUCACUAAAUACGUUUUAUCAAAAUGCCAAGUUAAUCAGGUGGGAGCGAGAAACAAUUCUAGCGAGGCUAGGUUGUACUAGCCCAAAACUACAUACAACAGAGGAAAAAUGAAGAAAAUGAUGGUCUACCAAAUAGGGCGCAUGAGCCUUAAGGUGCACCUAGAGGGAAGUAGAAGAAAUAAAUAUAUAAUAGCAUAUGUUUUUCGCAAUGCAAGGUAAAGUGUAGAUGUGCUCUAACUGGGCUUAGAUUGCAGCGACACAUUAUGCAUCUACAAGGCUUGGUUGCACAUGGAAAAAGAUAGAGAGAGAAAUGUAGACGCAGGACCGGGAGAAAAACAUUCAAUGAGACAUGAUUGCACGGACAUAGAACUAGAUAUAAGACAAGAGUUAAAGAAAAAUAAAGGAACUAAAUUUUCUUCUGCACACUAAGCAUGAAUGGAGUUGUAGUAUCUGAGAUCAAAAUUUAAUUUAUUCCAAGAUGCAGAACAAAAAUGUGAUACUCGUAAUGGUUACAUAGGAACAAAAGUAGAUAAGAAAAAUAGCAAAAAGAUAGUGGUCUACCAGAGAGGGCACAUGUGCCUCAAUUGGCCUAUAGCAUAGCGACUCAUUAUCCUUCCACCGCUGGUGGCGGGCGAUACUCGCUGCUCUGUGAAGCCAGCCUCACGCAAUGUCCGCCACUUUAGGUGUUGGGAUGCAAAGGCUUUCUCCAAGGCAUCCGAAACCCACUACACAACUUGGAAUGGGUGGUCCACAGUUUGUAGCACUAGACCCAGGCACAUGCACCACAAUUGACAUCCACACUACCUUAUUGCCCCCGCUCGGGUUACAAGCAAUCGCUACUUGCUCAGCGAGUGAGGGGGUUCAAGACUACCUAUUUAAGGUGGUGUUGUACUCUAUGAGCCGACAGUGUGGUAUUUACCAACUACAAAUAGUGUCAUGCAUGUGACUUGCUAGUUGACAAUGUCUGUUGUCGAGCUAGAUGUGGGCUAUGGAUGAAGCACAUUAGGAUAUAGUAGGCCUAUUUUGUUUUUUGUUGUUUUUGGGCCACUAUGGACUUUAUGUUGAUGUUGUGAAAUUUUUUCCUGUGUUUCCUCUUCCUACGAUGUGGAAAGUGGGUGCGUCAGAGAAGAAAGAAAGAGUAGCUAGCAUUGAUUUUACGUCAUACCAUUGAGAACACUAAUCAGAAGCAGAAGCAACAAUAUUUCAUACAUAUACAACACUUGUAAUCCAUAUAAACAACUUUCCUUUAAAAUAUAAUAUAAACCACUUGAUUUAUAUCCUGGGUCGGCUAUCUCCACAAAGGGCAAGAAAACGCACCAAGUUUGUAGUAUAGAACUAAAAGUGUCGAUUCUCACGAUUUCUUCCCAACAUAUACAAACUAGACAGUAAUCACAUAAAAUAAAGAAAUAUGUGUUAACACGAACUUAUAGCAUGUAUUUCAACAUAUAGAUUGUUGAUUAUUAUGGUAGAUUAUAUAAAAUAGGGGUUCCCGAAGAAAUACAUAAAAACAAGAGCAUUAAAAGUUCCUUUUCAGAUCUGGCUAUCUAGUAAAAGGAGUUGGAGUAACUGAGUUUCCAAAUUUGUGACGUAGCUCUAUAGAAGGAAUAUAAAUACGUUGGAAAAAUUCUACAAGGAAAGGUCUAAUACAAGUAGGGCUAAGAAAAACUCAAUGAGGCUUUGGUCACAUGGUCACAAAACUUGAGACAAGAAACACGAAGACACCAAGGUAAUUAGUAUGAGAGUUUUCCAAAUUUGGUGUCUUGAUGUAGAAAAAAUAAAUAUAUGACAAACUUGUUUUUUCGCAAGGCAUGGAUAAAUAAGUGGGGGUGAACAAUAAAUUUCAUCCUAGAUUUAGAAGGAAUAAAUAUAUCACUAAAUACGUUUUUUCACAAUGCCAAGUUAAUCAGGUGGGAGCGAGAAACAAUUCUAGCGAGGCUAGUUUGUACUAGCCCAAAACUACAUACAACAGAGGAAAAAUGAAGAAAAUGAUGGUCUACCAAAUAGGGCGCAUGAGCCUUAAGGUGCACCUAGAGGGAAGUAGAAGAAAUAAAUAUAUAAUAGCAUAUGUUUUUCGCAAUGCAAGGUAAAGUGUAGAUGUGCUCUAACUGGGCUUAGAUUGCAGCGACACAUUAUGCAUCUACAAGGCUUGGUUGCACAUGGAAAAAGAUAGAGAGAGAAAUGUAGACGCAGGACCGGGAGAAAAACAUUCAAUGAGACAUGAUUGCACGGACAUAGAACUAGAUAUAAGACAAGAGUUAAAGAAAAAUAAAGGAACUAAAUUUUCUUCUACACACUCAGCAUGAAUGGAGUUGUAGUAUCUGAGAUCAAAAUUUAAUUUAUUCCAAGAUGCAGAACAAAAACGUGAUACUCGUAAUGGUUACAUAGGAACAAAAGUAGAUAAGAAAAAUAGCAAAAAGAUAGUGGUCUACCAGAGAGGGCACAUGUGCCUCAAUUGGCCUAUAGCAUAGCGACUCAUUAUCCUUCCACCGCUGGUGGCGGGCGGUACUCGCUGCUCUAUGAAGCCAGCCUCACGCAAUGUCCGCCACUUUAGGUGUUGGGAUGCAAAGGCUUUCGCCAAGGCAUCCGAAACCCACUACACAACUUGGAAUGGGUGGUCCACAGUUUGUAGCACUAGACCCAGGCACAUGCACCACAAUUGACAUCCACACUACCUUAUUGCCCCCGCUCGGGUUACAAGCAAUCGCUACUUGCUCAGCGAGUGAGGGGGUUCAAGACUACCUAUUUAAGGUGGUGUUGUACUCUAUGAGCCGACAGUGUGGUAUUUACCAACUACAAAUAGUGUCAUGCAUGUGACUUGCUAGUUGACAAUGUCUGUUGUCGAGCUAGAUGUGGGCUAUGGAUGAAGCACAUUAGGAUAUAGUAGGCCUAUUUUGUUUUUUGUUAUUUUUGGGCCACUAUGGACUUUAUGUUGAUGUUGUGAAAUUUUUUCUUGUGUUUCCUCUUCCUACGAUGUGGAAAGUGGGUGCGUCAGAGAAGAAAGAAAGAGUAGCUAGCAUUGAUUUUCCGUCAUACCAUUGAGAACACUAAUCAGAAGCAGAAGCAACAAUAUUUCAUACAUAUACAACACUUGUAAUCCAUAUAAACAACUUUCCUUUAAAAUAUAAUGUAAACCACAUGAUUUAUAUCUAGGGUCGGCUAUCUCCACAAAGGGCAAGAAAACGCUCCAAGUUUGUAGUAUAGAACUAAAAGUGUCGAUUCUCACGAUUUCUUCCCGACAUAUACAAACUAGACAGUAAUCACAUAAAAUAAAGAAAUAUGUGUUAACACGAACUUAUAGCAUGUAUUUCAACAUAUAGAUUGUUGAUUAUUAUGGUAGAUUAUAUAAAAUAGGGGUUCCCGAAGAAAUACGUAAAAACAAGAGCAUUAAAAUUUCCUUUUCAGAUCUGGCUAUCUAGUAAAAGGAGUUGGAGUAACUGAGUUUCCAAAUUUGUGACGUAGCUCUAUAGAAGGAAUAUAAAUACGUUGGAAAAAUUCUACAAGGAAAGGUCUAAUACAAGUAGGGCUAAGAAAAACUCAAUGAGGCUUUGGUCGCAUGGUCACAAAACUUGAGACAAGAAACACGAAGACACCAAGGUAAUUAGUAUGAGAGUUUUCCAAAUUUGGUGUCUUGAUGUAGAAAAAAUAAAUAUAUGACAAACUUGUUUUUUCGCAAGGCAUGGAUAAAUAAGUGGGGGUGAACAAUAAAUUCAUCCUAGAUUUAGAAGGAAUAAAUAUAUCACUAAAUACGUUUUUUCACAAUGCCAAGUUAAUCAGGUGGGAGCGAGAAACAAUUCUAGCGAGGCUAGGUUGUACUAGCCCAAAACUACAUACAACAGAGGAAAAAUGAAGAAAAUGGUGGUCUACCAAAUAGGGCGCAUGAGCCUUAAGGUGCACCUAGAGGGAAGUAGAAGAAAUAAAUAUAUAAUAGCAUAUGUUUUUCGCAAUGCAAGGUAAAGUGUAGAUGUGCUCUAACUGGGCUUAGAUUGUAGCGACACAUUAUGCAUCUACAAGGCUUGGUUGCUCAUGGAAAAAGAUAGAGACAGAAAUGUAGACGCAGGACCGGGAGAAAAACAUUCAAUGAGACGUGAUUGCACGGACAUAGAACUAGUUAUAAGACAAGAGUUAAAGAAAAAUAAAGGAACUAAAUUUUCUUCUGCACACUAAGCAUGAAUGGAGUUGUAGUAUCUGAGAUCAAAAUUUAAUUUAUUCCAAGAUGCAGAACAAAAACGUGAUACUCGUAAUGGUUACAUAGGAACAAAAGUAGAUAAGAAAAAUAGCAAAAAGAUAGUGGUCUACCAGAGAGGGCACAUGUGCCUCAAUUGGCCUAUAGCAUAGCGACUCAUUAUCCUUCCACCGCUGGUGGCGGGCGGUACUCGCUGCUCUGUGAAGCCAACCUCACGCAAUGUCCGCCACUUUAGGUGUUGGGAUGCAAAGGCUUUCGCCAAGGCAUCCGAAACCCACUACACAACUUGGAAUGGGUGGUCCACAGUUUGUAGCACUAGACCCAGGCACAUGCACCACAAUUAACAUUCACACUACCUUAUUGCCCCCGCUCGGGUUACAAGCAAUCGCUACUUGCUCAGCGAGUGAGGGGGUUCAAGACUACCUAUUUAAGGUGGUGUUGUACUGUAUGAGCCGGCGGUGUGGUAUUUACCAACUACAAAUAGUGUCAUGCAUGUGACUUGCUAGUUGACAAUGUCUGUUGUCGAGCUAGAUGUGGGCUAUGGAUGAAGCACAUUAGGAUAUAGUAGGCCUAUUUUGUUUUUUGUUGUUUUUGGGACACUAUGGACUUUAUGUUGAUGUUGUGAAAUUUUUUCUUGUGUUUCCUUUUCCUACGAUGUGGAAAGUGGGUGCGUCAGAGAAGAAAGAAAGAGUGGCUAGCAUUGAUUUUACGUCAUACCGUUGAGAACACUAAUCAGAAGCAGAAGCAACAAUAUUUCAUACAUAUACAACACUUGUAAUCCAUAUAAACAACUUUCCUUUAAAAUAUAAGAUAAACCACAUGAUUUAUAUCCUGGGUCGGCUAUCUCCACAAAGGGCAAGAAAACGCUCCAAGUUUGUAGUAUAGAACUAAAAGUGUCGAUUCUCACGAUUUCUUCCCGACAUAUACAAACUAGACAGUAAUCACAUAAAAUAAAGAAAUAUGUGUUAACAAGAACUUAUACCAUGUAUUUCAACAUAUAGAUUGUUGAUUAUUAUGGUAGAUUAUAUAAAAUAGGGGUUCCCGAAGCAAUACAUAAAAACAAGAGCAUUAAAAUUUCCUUUUCAGAUUUGGCUAUCUGGUAAAAGGAGUUGGAGUAACUGAGUUUCCAAAUUUGUGCCGUAGCUCUAUAGAAGGAAUAUAAAUACGUUGGAAAAAUUCUAUAAGGAAAGGUUUAAUACAAGUAGGGCUAAGAAAAACUCAAUGAGGCUUUGGUCGCAUGGUCACAAAACUUGAGACAAGAAACACGAAGACACCAAGGUAAUUAGUAUGAGAGUUUUCCAAAUUUGGUGUCUUGAUGUAGAAAAAUAAAUAUAUGAAAAACUUGUUUUUUCGCAAGGCAUGGAUAAAUAAGUGGGGGUGAGCAAUAAAUUUCAUCCUUGAUUUAGAAGGAAUAAAUAUAUCACUAAAUACGUUUUUUCACAAUGCCAAGUUAAUCAGGUGGGACCGAGAAACAAUUCUAGCGAGGCUAGGUUGUACUAGCCCAAAACUACAUACUACAGAGGAAAAAUGAAGAAAAUGAUGGUCUACCAAAUAUGGCGCAUGAGCCUUAAGGUGCACCUAGAGGGAAGUAGAAGAAAUAAAUAUAUAAUAGCAUAUGUUUUUCGCAAUGCAAGGUAAAGUGUAGAUGUGCUCUAACUAGGCUUAGAUUGCAGCGACACAUUAUGCAUCUACAAGGCUUGGUUGCACAUGGAAAAAGAUAGAGAGAGAAAUGUAGACGCAGGACCGAGAGAAAAACAUUCAAUGAGACGUGAUUGCACGGACAUAGAACUAGAUAUAAGACAAGAGUUAAAGAAAAAUAAAGGAACUAAAUUUUCUUCUGCACACUAAGCAUGAAUGGAGUUGUAGUAUCUGAGAUCAAAAUUUAAUUUAUUCCAAGAUGCAGAACAAAAACGUGAUACUCGUAAUGGUUACAUAGGAACAAAAGUAGAUAAGAAAAAUAGCAAAAAGAUAGUGGUCUACCAGAGAGGGCACAUGUGCCUCAAUUGGCCUAUAGCAUAGCGACUCAUUAUCCUUCCACCGCUGGUGGCGGGCGGUACUCGCUGCUCUGUGAAGCCAGCCUCACGCAAUGUCCGCCACUUUAGGUGUUGGGAUGCAAAGGCUUUCGCCAAGGCAUCCGAAACCCACUACACAACUUGGAAUGGGUGUUCCACAAUUUGUAGCACUAGACCCAGGCACAUGCACCACAAUUGACAUCCACACUACCUUAUUGCCUCCGCUCGGGUUACAAGCAAUCGCUACUUGCUCAGCGAGUGAGGGGGUUCAAGACUACCUAUUUGAGGUGGUGUUGUACUCUAUGAGCCGGCGGUGUGGUAUUUACCAACUACAAAUAGUGUCAUGCAUGUGACUUGCUAGUUGACAAUGUCUGUUGUCGAGCUAGAUGUGGGCUAUGGAUGAAGCACAUUAGGAUAUAGUAGGCCUAUUUUGUUUUUUGUUGUUUUUGGGCCACUAUGGACUUUAUGUUGAUGUUGUGAAAUUUUUUCUUGUGUUUCCUCUUCAUACGAUGUGGAAAGUGGGUGCCGUCAGAGAAGAAAGAAAGAGCGGCUAGCAUUGAUUUUACGUCAUACCAUUGAGAACACUAAUUAGAAGCAGAAGCAACAAUAUUUCAUACAUAUACAACACUUGUAAUCCAUAUAAACAACAUUCCUUUAAAAUAUAAUAUAAACCACAUGAUUUAUAUCCUGGGUCAGCUAUCUCCACAAAGGGCAAGAAAACGCUCCAAGUUUGUAGUAUAGAACUAAAAGUGUCGAUUCUCACGAUUUCUUCCCGACAUAUACAAACUAGACAGUAAUCACAUAAAAUAAAGAAAUAUGUGUUAACACGAACUUAUAACAUGUAUUUCAACAUAUAGAUUGUUGAUUAUUAUGGUAGAUUAUAUAAAAUAGGGGUUCCCGAAGAAAUACAUAAAAACAAGAGCAUUAAAAUUUCCUUUUCAGAUCUGGCUAUCUGGUAAAAGGAGUUGGAGUAACUGAGUUUCCAAAUUUGUGACGUAGCUCUAUAGAAGGAAUAUAAAUACGUUGGAAAAAUUCUACAAGGAAAGGUUUAAUACAAGUAGGGCUAAGAAAAACUCAAUGAGGCUUUGGUCGCAUGGUCACAAAACUUGAGACAAGAAACACGAAGACACCAAGGUAAUUAGUAUGAGAGUUUUCCAAAUUUGGUGUCUUGAUGUAGAAAAAAUAAAUAUAUGACAAACUUGUUUUUUCGCAAGGCAUGGAUAAAUAAGUGGGGGCGAGCAAUAAAUUUCAUCCUAGAUUUAGAAGGAAUAAAUAUAUCACUAAAUACGUUUUUUCAUAAUGCCAAGUUAAUCAGGUGGGAGCGAGAAACAAUUCUAGCGAGGUUAGGUUGUACUAGCCCAAAACUACAUACAACAGAGGAAAAAUGAAGAAAAUGAUGGUCUACCAAAUAUGGCGCAUGAGCCUUAAGGUGCACGUAGAGGGAAGUAUAAGAAAUAAAUAUAUAAUAGCAUAUGUUUUUCGCAAUGCAAGGUAAAGUGUAGAUGUGCUCUAACUGGGCUUAGAUUGCAGCGACACAUUAUGCAUCUACAAGGCUUGGUUGCACAUGGAAAAAGAUAGAGAGAGAAAUGUAGACACAGGACCGGGAGAAAAACAUUCAAUGAGACAUGAUUGCACGGACAUAGAACUAGAUAUAAGACAAGAGUUAAAGAAAAAUAAAGGAACUAAAUUUUCUUCUACACACUCAGCAUGAAUGGAGUUGUAGUAUCUGAGAUCAAAAUUUAAUUUAUUCCAAGAUGCAGAACAAAAACGUGAUACUCGUAAUGGUUACAUAGGAACAAAAGUAGAUAAGAAAAAUAGCAAAAAGAUAGUGGUCUACCAGAGAGGGCACAUGUGCCUCAAUUGGCCUAUAGCAUAGCGACUCAUUAUCCUUCCACCGCUGGUGGCGGGCGGUACUCGCUGCUCUGUGAAGCCAGCCUCACGCAAUGUCCGCCACUUUAGGUGUUGGGAUGCAAAGGCUUUCGCCAAGGCAUCCGAAACCCACUACACAACUUGGAAUGGGUGUUCCACAGUUUGUAGCACUAGACCAUGGCACAUGCACCACAAUUGACAUCCACACUACCUUAUUGCCCCCGCUCGGGUUACAAGCAAUCACUACUUGCUCAUCAAGUGAGGGGGUUCAAGACUACCUAUUUAAGGUGGUGUUGUACUCUAUGAGCCGACGGUGUGGUAUUUACCAACUACAAAUAGUGUCAUGCAUGUGACUUGCUAGUUGACAAUGUCUGUUGUCGAGCUAGAUGUGGGCUAUGGAUGAAGCACAUUAGGAUAUAGUAGGCCUAUUUUGUUUUUUGUUGUUUUUGGGCCACUAUGGACUUUAUGUUGACGUUGUGAAAUUUUUUCUUGUGUUUCCUCUUCCUACGAUGUGGAAAGUGGGUGCCGUCAGAGAAGAAAGAAAGAGUGGCUAGCAUUGAUUUUACGUCAUACCAUUGAGAACACUAAUCAGAAGCAGAAGCAACAAUAUUUCAUACAUAUACAACACUUGUAAUCCAUAUAAACAACUUUCCUUUAAAAUAUAAUAUAAACCACAUGAUUUAUAUCCUGGGUCGGCUAUCUCCACAAAGGGCAAGAAAACGCUCCAAGUUUGUAGUAUAGAACUAAAAGUGUCGAUUCUCACGAUUUCUUCCCGACAUAUACAAACUAGACAGUAAUCACAUAAAAUAAAGAAAUAUGUGUUAACACGAACAUAUAGCAUGUAUUUCAACAUAUAGAUUGUUGAUUAUUAUGGUAGAUUAUAUAAAAUAGGGGUUCCCGAAGAAAUACAUAAAAACAAGAGCAUUGAAAUUUCCUUUUCAGAUCUGGCUAUCUGGUAAAAGGAGUUGGAGUAACUGAGUUUCCAAAUUUGUGACGUAGCUCUAUAGAAGGAAUAUAAAUACGUUGGAAAAAUUCUACAAGGAAAGGUUUAAUACAAGUAGGGCUAAGAAAAACUCAAUGAGGCUUUGGUCGCAUGGUCACAAAACUUGAGACAAGAAACACGAAGACACCAAGGUAAUUAGUAUGAGAGUUUUCCAAAUUUGGUGUCUUGAUGUAGAAAAAAUAAAUAUAUGACAAACUUGUUUUUUCGCAAGGCAUGGAUAAAUAAGUGGGGGCGAGCAAUAAAUUUCAUCCUAGAUUUAGAAGGAAUAAAUAUAUCACUAAAUACGUUUUUUCAUAAUGCCAAGUUAAUCAGGUGGGAGCGAGAAACAAUUCUAGCGAGGCUAGGUUGUACUAGCCCAAAACUACAUACAACAGAGGAAAAAUGAAGAAAAUGAUGGUCUACCAAAUAUGGCGCAUGAGCCUUAAGGUGCACCUAGAGGGAAGUAGAAGAAAUAAAUAUAUAAUAGCAUAUGUUUUUCGCAAUGCAAGGUAAAGUGUAGAUGUGCUCUAACUGGGCUUAGAUUGCAGCGACACAUUAUGCAUCUACAAGGCUUGGUUGCACAUGGAAAAAGAUAGAGAGAGAAAUGUAGACACAGGACCGGGAGAAAAACAUUCAAUGAGACAUGAUUGCACGGACAUAGAACUAGAUAUAAGACAAGAGUUAAAGAAAAAUAAAGGAACUAAAUUUUCUUCUGCACACUCAGCAUGAAUGGAGUUGUAGUAUCUGAGAUCAAAAUUUAAUUUAUUCCAAGAUGCAGAACAAAAACGUGAUACUCGUAAUGGUUACAUAGGAACAAAAGUAGAUAAGAAAAAUAGCAAAAAGAUAGUGGUCUACCAGAGAGGGCACAUGUGCCUCAAUUGGCCUAUAGCAUAGCGACUCAUUAUCCUUCCACCGCUGGUGGCGGGCGGUACUCGCUGCUCUGUGAAGCCAGCCUCACGCAAUGUCCGCCACUUUAGGUGUUGGGAUGCAAAGGCUUUCGCCAAGGCAUCCGAAACCCACUACACAACUUGGAAUGGGUGGUCCAAAGUUUGUAGCACUAGACCCAGGCACAUGCACCACAAUUGACAUCCACACUACCUUAUUGCCCCCGCUCGGGUUACAAGCAAUCGCUACUUGCUCAGCGAGUGAGGGGGUUCAACACUACCUAUUUAAGGUGGUGUUGUACUCUAUAAGCCGGCGGUGUGGUAUUUACCAACUACAAAUAGUGUCAUGCAUGUGACUUGCUAGUUGACAAUGUCUGUUGUCGAGCUAGAUGUGGGCUAUGGAUGAAGCACAUUAUGAUAUAGUAGGCCUAUUUUGUUUUUUGUUGUUUUUGGGCCACUAUGGACUUUAUGUUGAUGUUGUGAAAUUUUUUCUUGUGUUUCCUCUUCCUACGAUGUGUAAAGUGGGUGUGUUAGAGAAGAAAGAAAGAGUGGCUAGCAUUGAUUUUACGUCAUACCAUUGAGAACACUAAUCAGAAGCAGAAGCAACAAUAUUUCAUACAUAUACAACACUUGUAAUCCAUAUAAACAACUUUCCUUUAAAAUAUAAUAUAAACCACAUGAUUUAUAUCCUGGGUCGGCUAUCUCCACAAAGGGCAAGAAAACGCUCCAAGUUUGUAGUAUAGAACUAAAAGUGUCGAUUCUCACGAUUUCUUCCCGACAUAUACAAACUAGACAGUAAUCACAUAAAAUAAAGAAAUAUGUGUUAACACGAACUUAUAGCAUGUAUUUCAACAUAUAGAUUGUUGAUUAUUAUGGUAGAUUAUAUAAAAUAGGGGUUCCCAAAGAAAUACAUAAAACAAGAGCAUUAAAAUUUCCUUUUCAGAUCUGGCUAUCUGGUAAAAGGAGUUGGAGUAACUGAGUUUCCAAAUUUGUGACGUAGCUCUAUAGAAGGAAUAUAAAUACGUUGGAAAAAUUCUACAAGGAAAGGUUUAAUACAAGUAGGGCUAAGAAAAACUCAAUGAGGCUUUGGUCGCAUGGUCACAAAACUUGAGACAAGAAACACGAAGACACAAAGGUAAUUAGUAUGAGAGUUUUCCAAAUUUGGUGUCUUGAUGUAGAAAAAAUAAAUAUAUGACAAACUUGUUUUUUCGCAAGGCAUGGAUAAAUAAGUGGGGGUGAGCAAUAAAUUUCAACCUAGAUUUAGAAGGAAUAAAUAUAUCACUAAAUACAUUUUUUACAAUGCCAAGUUAAUCAGGUAGGAGCGAGAAACAAUUCUAGCGAGGCUAGGUUGUACUAGCCCAAAACUACAUACAAAAGAGGAAAAAUGAAGAAAAUGAUGGUCUACCAAAUAUGGCACAUGAGCCUUAAGGUGCACCUAGAGGGAAGUAGAAGAAUAAAUAUAUAAUAGCAUAUGUUUUUCGCAAUGCAAGGUAAAGUGUAGAUGUGCUCUAACUGGGCUUAGAUUGCAGCGACACAUUAUGCAUCUACAAGGCUUGGUUGCACAUGGAAAAAGAUAGAGAGAGAAAUGUAGACGCAGGACCGGGAGAAAAACAUUCAAUGAGACGUGAUUGCACGGACAUAGAACUAGAUAUAAGACAAGAGUUAAAGAAAAAAGGAACUAAAUUUUCUUGUGCACACUAAGCAUGAAUGGAGUUGUAGUAUCUGAGAUCAAAAUUUAAUUUAUUCCAAGAUGCAGAACAAAAACGUGAUACUCGUAAUGGUUACAUAGGAACAAAAGUAGAUAAGAAAAAUAGCAAAAAGAUAUUGGUCUACCAGAGAGGGCACAUGUGCCUCAAUUGGCCUAUAGCAUAGUGGCUCAUUAUCCUUCAACCGCUGGUGGCGGGCGGUACUCGCUGCUCUGUGAAGCCAGCCUCACGCAAUGUCCGCCACUUUAGGUGUUGGGAUGCAAAGGCUUUCGCCAAGGCAUCCGAAACCCACUACACAACUUGGAAUGGGUGGUCCACAGUUUGUAGCACUAGACCCAGGCACAUGCACCACAAUUGACAUUCACACUACCUUAUUGCCCCCGCUCGGGUUACAAGCAAUCGCUACUUGCUCAGCGAGUGAGGGGGGUUCAAGACUACCUAUUUAAGGUGGUGUUGUACUGUAUGAGCCGGCGGUGUGGUAUUUACCAACUACAAAUAGUGUCAUGCAUGUGACUUGCUAGUUGACAAUGUCUGUUGUGGAGCUAGAUGUGGGCUAUGGAUGAAGCACAUUAGGAUAUAGUAGGCCUAUUUUGUUUUUUGUUAUUUUUGGGCCACUAUGGACUUUAUGUUGAUGUUGUGAAUUUUUUUCUUGUGUUUCCUCUUCCUACGAUGUGGAAAGUGGGUGCGUCAGAGAAGAAAGAAAGAGUGGCUAGCAUUGAUUUUACGUCAUACCAUUGAGAACACUAAUCAGAAGCAGAAGCAACAAUAUUUCAUACAUAUACAACACUUGUAAUCCAUAUAAACAACUUUCCUUUCAAAUAUAAUAUAAACCACAUGAUUUAUAUCCUGGGUCGGCUAUCUCCACAAAGGGCAAGAAAACGCUCCAAGUUUGUAGUAUAGAACUAAAAGUGUCGACUCUCACGAUUUCUUCCCGACAUAUGCAAACUAGACAGUAAUCACAUAAAAUAAAGAAAUAUGUGUUAACACAAACUUAUAACAUGUAUUUCAACAUAUAGAUUUUUGAUUAUUAUGGUAGAUUAUAUAAUAUAGGGGUUCCCGAAGAAAUACAUAAAAAACAAGAGCAUUAAAAUUUCCUUUUCAGAUCUGGCUAACUGGUAAAGGGAGUUGGAGUAUCUGUGUUUCCAAAUUUGGGACGUCGCUCUAUAGAAGGAAUAUAAAUACAUUGGAAAAAAAUUCUACAAGGAAAGGUUUAAUACAAGUAGGGCUAAGAAAAACUCAAUGAGGCUUUGGUCGCAUGGUCACAAAACUUGAGACAAGAAACACGAAGACACCAAGGUAAUUAGUAUGAGAGUUUUCCAAAUUUGGUGUCUUGAUGUAGAAAAAAUAAAUAUAUGACAAACUUGUUUUUUCGCAAGGCAUGGAUAAAUAAGUGGGGGUGAGCAAUAAAUUUCAUCCUAGAUUUAGAAGGAAUAAAUAUAUCACUAAAUACGUUUUUUCAUAAUGCCAAGUUAAUCAGGUGGGAGCGAGAAACAAUUCUAGCGAGGCUAGGUUGUACUAGCCCAAAACUACAUACAACAGAGGAAAAAUGAAGAAAAUGAUGGUCUACCAAAUAUGGCGCAUGAGCCUUAAGGUGCACCUAGAGGGAAGUAGAAGAAAUAAAUAUAUAAUAGCAUAUGUUUUUCUCAAUGCAAGGUAAAGUGUAGAUGUGCUCUAACUGGGCUUAGAUUGCAGCGACACAUUAUGCAUCUACAAGGCUUGGUUGCACAUGGAAAAAGAUAGAGAGAGAAAUGUAGACACAGGACGGGGAGAAAAACAUUCAAUGAGACAUGAUUGCACGGACAUAGAACUAGAUAUAAGACAAGAGUUAAAGAAAAAUAAAGGAACUAAAUUUUCUUCUGCACACUCAGCAUGAAUGGAGUUGUAGUAUCUGAGAUCAAAAUUUAAUUUAUUCCAAGAUGCAGAACAAAAACGUGAUACUCGUAAUGGUUACAUAGGAACAAAAGUAGAUAAGAAAAAUAGCAAAAAGAUAGUGGUCUACCAGAGAGGGCACAUGUGCCUCAAUUGGCCUAUAGCAUAGCGACUCAUUAUCCUUCCACCGCUGGUGGCGGGCGGUACUCGCUGCUCUGUGAAGCCAGCCUCACGCAAUGUCCGCCACUUUAGGUGUUGGGAUGCAAAGGCUUUCGCCAAGGCAUCCGAAACCCACUACACAACUUGGAAUGGGUGGUCCACAGUUUGUAGCACUAGACCCAGGCACAUGCACCACAAUUGACAUCCACACUACCUUAUUGCCCCCGCUCGGGUUACAAGCAAUCGCUACUUGCUCAGCGAGUGAGGGGGUUCAAGACUACCUAUUUAAGGUGGUGUUGUACUCUAUAAGCCGGCGGUGUGGUAUUUACCAACUACAAAUAGUGUCAUGCAUGUGACUUGCUAGUUGACAAUGUCUGUUGUCGAGCUAGAUGUGGGCUACGGAUGAAGCACAUUAUGAUAUAGUAGGCCUAUUUUGUUUUUUGUUGUUUUUGGGCCACUAUGGACUUUAUGUUGAUGUUGUGAAAUUUUUUCUUGUGUUUCCUCUUCCUACGAUGUGGAAAGUGGGUGUGUUAGAGAAGAAAGAAAGAGUGGCUAGCAUUGAUUUUACGUCAUACCAUUGAGAACACUAAUCAGAAGCAGAAGCAACAAUAUUUCAUACAUAUACAACACUUGUAAUCCAUAUAAACAACUUUCCUUUAAAAUAUAAUAUAAACCACAUGAUUUAUAUCCUGGGUCGGCUAUCUCCACAAAGGGCAAGAAAACGCUCCAAGUUUGUAGUAUAGAACUAAAAGUGUCGAUUCUCACGAUUUCUUCCCGACAUAUACAAACUAGACAGUAAUCACAUAAAAUAAAGAAAUAUGUGUUAACACAAACUUAUAGCAUGUAUUUCAACAUAUAGAUUGUUGAUUAUUAUGGUAGAUUAUAUAAAAUAGAGGUUCCCGAAGAAAUACAUAAAAACAAGAGCAUUAAAAUUUCCAUUUCAGAUCUGGCUAUCUGGUAAAAGGAGUUGGAGUAACUGAGUUUCCAAAUUUGUGACGUAGCUCUAUAGAAGGAAUAUAAAUACGUUGGAAAAAUUCUACAAGGAAAGGUUUAAUACAAGUAGGGCUAAGAAAAACUCAAUGAGGCUUUGGUCGCAUGGUCACAAAACUUGAGACAAGAAACACGAAGACACCAAGGUAAUUAGUAUGAGAGUUUUCCAAAUUUGGUGUCUUGAUGUAGAAAAAAUAAAUAUAUGACAAACUUGUUUUUUCGCAAGGCAUGGAUAAAUAAGUGGGGGCGAGCAAUAAAUUUCAUCCUAGAUUUAGAAGGAAUAAAUAUAUCACUAAAUACGUUUUUUCAUAAUGCCAAGUUCAUCAGGUGGGAGCGAGAAACAAUUCUAGCGAGGUUAGGUUGUACUAGCCCAAAACUACAUACAACAGAGGAAAAAUGAAGAAAAUGAUGGUCUACCAAAUAUGGCGCAUGGGCCUUAAGGUGCACCUAGAGGGAAGUAUAAGAAAUAAAUAUAUAAUAGCCUAUGUUUUUCGCAAUGCAAGGUAAAGUGUAGAUGUGCUCUAACUGGGCUUAGAUUGCAGCGACACAUUAUGCAUCUACAAGGCUUGGUUGCACAUGGAAAAAGAUAGAGAGAGAAAUGUAGACACAGGACGGGGAGAAAAACAUUCAAUGAGACAUGAUUGCACGGACAUAGAACUAGAUAUAAGACAAGAGUUAAAGAAAAAUAAAGGAACUAAAUUUUCUUCUGCACACUCAGCAUGAAUGGAGUUGUAGUAUCUGAGAUCAAAAUUUAAUUUAUUCCAAGAUGCAGAACAAAAACGUGAUACUCGUAAUGGUUACAUAGGAACAAAAGUAGAUAAGAAAAAUAGCAAAAAGAUAGUGGUCUACCAGAGAGGGCACAUGUGCCUCAAUUGGCCUAUAGCAUAGCGACUCAUUAUCCUUCCACCGCUGGUGGCAGGCGGUACUCGCUGCUCUGUGAAGCCAGCCUCACGCAAUGUCCGCCACUUUAGGUGUUGGGAUGCAAAGGCUUUCGCCAAGGCAUCCGAAACCCACUACGCAACUUGGAAUGGGUGGUCCACAGUUUGUAGCACUAGACCCAGGCACAUGCACCACAAUUGACAUCCACACUACCUUAUUGCCCCCGCUCGGGUUACAAGCAAUCGCUACUUGCUCAGCGAGUGAGGGGGUUCAAGACUACCUAUUUAAGGUGGUGUUGUACUCUAUAAGCCGGCGGUGUGGUAUUUACCAACUACAAAUAGUGUCAUGCAUGUGACUUGCUAGUUGACAAUGUCUGUUGUCGAGCUAGAUGUGGGCUAUGGAUGAAACACAUUACGAUAUAGUAGGCCUAUUUUGUUUUUUGUUGUUUUUGGGCCACUAUGGACUUUAUGUUGAUGUUGUGAAAUUUUUUCUUGUGUUUCCUCUUCCUAUGAUGUGGAAAGUGGGUGGGUUAGAGAAGAAAGAAAGAGUGGCUAGCAUUGAUUUUACGUCAUACAAUUGAGAACACUAAUCAGAAGCAGAAGCAACAAUAUUUCAUACAUAUACAACACUUGUAAUCCAUAUAAACAACUUUCCUUUAAAAUAUAAUAUAAACCACAUGAUUUAUAUCCUGGGUCGGCUAUCUCCACAAAGGGCAAGAAAACGCUCCAAGUUUGUAGUAUAGAACUAAAAGUGUCGAUUCUCACGAUUUCUUCCCGACAUAUACAAACUAGACAGUAAUCACAUAAAAUAAAGAAAUAUGUGUUAACACGAACUUAUAGCAUGUAUUUCAACAUAUAGAUUGCUGAUUAUUAUGGUUGAUUAUAUAAAAUAGGGGUUCCCGAAGAAAUACAUAAAAACAAGAGCAUUAAAAUUUCCUUUUCAGAUCUGGCUAUCUGGUAAAAGGAGUUGGAGUAACUGAGUUUCCAAAUUUGUGACGUAGCUCUAUAGAAGGAAUAUAAAUACGUUGGAAAAAUUCUACAAGGAAAGGUUUAAUACAAGUAGGGCUAAGAAAAACUCAAUGAGGCUUUGGUCGCAUGGUCACAAAACUUGAGACAAGAAACACGAAGACACCAAGGUAAUUAGUAUGAGAGUUUUCCAAAUUUGGUGUCUUGAUGUAGAAAAAAUAAAUAUAUGACAAACUUGUUUUUUCGCAAGGCAUGGAUAAAUAAGUGGGGGUGAGCAAUAAAUUUCAUCCUAGAUUUAGAAGGAAUAAAUAUAUCACUAAAUACGUUUUUUACAAUGCCAAGUUAAUUAGGUGGGAGCGAGAAACAAUUCUAGCGAGGCUAGGUUGUACUAGCCCAAAACUACAUACAACAGAGGAAGAAUGAAGAAAAUGAUGGUCUACCAAAUAUGGCACAUGAGCCUUAAGGUGCACCUAGAGGGAAGUAGAAGAAUAAAUAUAUAAUAGCAUAUGUUUUUCGCAAUGCAAGGUAAAGUGUAGAUGUGCUCUAACUGGGCUUAGAUUGCAGCGACACAUUAUGCAUCUACAAGGCUUCGUUGCACAUGGAAAAAGAUAGAGAGAGAAAUGUAGACGCAGGACCGGGAGAAAAACAUUCAAUGAGACGUGAUUGCACGGACAUAGAACUAAGUAUAAGACAAGAGUUAAAGAAAAAAGGAACUAAAUUUUCUUGUGCACACUAAGCAUGAAUGGAGUUGUAGUAUCUGAGAUCAAAAUUUAAUUUAUUCCAAGAUGCAGAACAAAAACGUGAUACUCGUAAUGGUUACAUAGGAACAAAAGUAGAUAAGAAAAAUAGCAAAAAGAUAUUGGUCUACCAGAGAGGGCACAUGUGCCUCAAUUGGCCUAUAGCAUAGUGGCUCAUUAUCCUUCCACCGCUGGUGGCGGGCGGUACUCGCUGCUCUGUGAAGCCAGCCUCACGCAAUGUCCGCCACUUUAGGUGUUGGGAUGCAAAGGCUUUCGCCAAGGCAUCCGAAACCCACUACACAACUUGGAAUGGGUGGUCCACAGUUUGUAGCAAUAGACCCAGGCACAUGCACCACAAUUGACAUUCACACUACCUUAUUGCCCCCGCUCGGGUUACAAGCAAUCGCUACUUGCUCAGCGAGUGAGGGGGUUCAAGACUACCUAUUUAAGGUGGUGUUGUACUGUAUGAGCCGGCGGUGUGGUAUUUACCAACUACAAAUAGUGUCAUGCAUGUGACUUGCUAGUUGACAAUGUCUAUUGUCGAGCUAGAUGUGGGCUAUAGAUGAAGCACAUUAGGAUAUAGUAGGCCUAUUUUGUUUUUUGUUGUUUUUGGGCCACUAUGGACUUUAUGUUGAUGUUGUGAAAUUUUUUCUUGUGUUUCCUCUUCCUACGAUGUGGAAAGUGGGUGCUUCAGAGAAGAAAGAAAGAGUGGCUAGCAUUGAUUUUACGUCAUACCAUUGAGAACACUAAUCAGAAGCAGAAGCAACAAUAUUUCAUACAUAUACAACACUUGUAAUCCAUAUAAACAACUUUCCUUUCAAAUAUAAUAUAAACCACAUGAUUUAUAUCCUGGGUCGGCUAUCUCCACAAAGGGCAAGAAAACGCUCCAAGUUUGUAGUAUAGCACUAAAAGUGUCGACUCUCACGAUUUCUUCCCGACAUAUGCAAACUAGACAGUAAUCACAUAAAAUAAAGAAAUAUGUGUUAACACAAACUUAUAGCAUGUAUUUCAACAUAUAGAUUUUUGAUUAUUAUGGUAGAUUAUAUAAUAUAGGGGUUCCCGAAAAAAUACAUAAAAAACAAGAGCAUUAAAAUUUCCUUUUCAGAUCUGGCUAACUGGUAAAGGGAGUUGGAGUAUCUGAGUUUCCAAAUUUGGGACGUCGCUCUAUAGAAGGAAUAUAAAUACAUUGGAAAAAAUUCUACAAGGAAAGGUUUAAUACAAGUAGCGCUAAGAAAAACUCAAUGAGGCUUUGGUCGCUUGGUCACAAAACUUGAGACAAGAAACACGAAGACACCAAGGUAAUUAGUAUGAGAGUUUUCCAAAUUUGGUGUCUUGAUGUAGAAAAAAUAAAUAUAUGACAAACUUGUUUUUUCGCAAGGCAUGGAUAAAUAAGUGGGGGUGAGCAAUAAAUUUCAUCCUAGAUUUAGAAGGAAUAAAUAUAUCACUAAAUACGUUUUUUCACAAUGCCAAGUUAAUCAGGUGGGAGCGAGAAACAAUUCUAGCGAGGCUAGGUUGUACUAGCCCAAAACUACAUACAACAGAGGAAAAAUAAAGAAAAUGAUGGUCUACCAAAUAGGGCGCAUGAGCCUUAAGGUGCACCUAGAGGGAAGUAGAAGAAAUAAAUAUAUAAUAGCAUAUGUUUUUCGCAAUGCAAGGUAAAGUGUAGAUGUGCUCUAACUGGGCUUAGAUUGCAGCGACACAUUAUGCAUCUACAAGGCUUGGUUGCACAUGGAAAAAGAUAGAGAGAGAAAUGUAGACGCAGGACCGGGAGAAAAACAUUCAAUGAGACGUGAUUGCACGGACAUAGAACUAGAUAUAAGACAAGAGUUAAAGAAAAAUAAAGGAACUAAAUUUUCUUCUGCACACUAAGCAUGAAUGGAGUUGUAGUAUCUGAGAUCAAAAUUUAAUUUAUUCCAAGAUGCAGAACAAAAACGUGAUACUCGUAAUGGUUACAUAGGAACAAAAGUAGAUAAGAAAAAUAGCAAAAAGAUAGUGGUCUACCAGAGAGGGCACAUGUGCCUCAAUUGGCCUAUAGCAUAGCGACUCAUUAUCCUUCCACCGCUGGUGGCGGGCGGUACUCGCUGCUCUGUGAAGCCAGCCUCACGCAAUGUCCGCCACUUUAGGUGUUGGGAUGCAAAGGCUUUCGCCAAGGCAUCCGAAACCCACUACACAACUUGGAAUGGGUGGUCCACAGUUUGUAGCACUAGACCCAGGCACAUGCACCACAAUUGACAUCCACACUACCUUAUUGCCCCCGCUCGGGUUACAAGCAAUCGCUACUUGCUCAGCGAGUGAGGGGGUUCAAGACUACCUAUUUAAGGUGGUGUUGUACUCUAUGAGCCGGCGGUGUGGUAUUUACCAACUACAAAUAGUGUCAUGCAUGUGACUUGCUAGUUGACAAUGUCUGUUGUCAAGCUAGGUGUGGGCUAUGGAUGAAGCACAUUAGGAUAUAGUAGGCCUAUUUUGUUUUUUGUUGUUUUUGGGCCACUAUGGACUGUAUGUUGAUGUUGUGAAAUUUUUUUCUUGUGUUUCCUCUUCCUACGAUGUGGAAAGUGGGUGCGUCAGAGAAGAAAGAAAGAGUGGCUAGCAUUGAUUUUACGUCAUACCAUUGAGAACACUAAUCAGAAGCAGAAGCAACAAUAUUUCAUACAUAUACAACACUUGUAAUCCAUAUAAACAACAUUCCUUUAAAAUAUAAUAUAAACCACAUGAUUUAUAUCCUGGGUCGGCUAUCUCCACAAAGGGCAAGAAAACGCUCCAAGUUUGUAGUAUAGCACUAAAAGUGUCGAUUCUCACGAUUUCUUCCCGACAUAUACAAACUAGACAGUAAUCACAUAAAAUAAAGAAAUAUGUGUUAACACGAACUUAUAACAUGUAUUUCAACAUAUAGAUUGUUGAUUAUUAUGGUAGAUUAUAUAAAAUAGGGGUUCCCGAAGAAAUACAUAAAAACAAGAGCAUUAAAAUUUCCUUUUCAGAUCUGGCUAUCUGGUAAAAGGAGUUGGAGUAACUGAGUUUCCAAAUUUGUGACGUAGCUCUAUAGAAGGAAUAUAAAUACGUUGGAAAAAUUCUAUAAGGAAAGGUUUAAUACAAGUAGGGCUAAGAAAAACUCAAUGAGGCUUUGGUCGCAUGGUCACAAAACUUGAGACAAGAAACACGAAGACACCAAGGUAAUUAGUAUGAGAGUUUUCCAAAUUUGGUGUCUUGAUGUAGAAAAAAUAAAUAUAUGACAAACUUGUUUUUUCGCAAGGCAUGGAUAAAUAAGUGGGGGUGAGCAAUAAAUUUCAUCCUAGAUUUAGAAGGAAUAAAUAUAUCACUAAAUAUGUUUUUUCACAAUGCCAAGUUAAUCAGGUGGGAGCGAGAAACAAUUCUAGCGAGGCUAGGUUGUACUAGCCCAAAACUACAUACAACAGAGGAAAAAUGAAGAAAAUGAUGGUCUACCAAAUAUGGCGCAUGAGCCUUAAGGUGCACCUAGAGGGAAGUAGAAGAAAUAAAUAUAUAAUAGCAUAUGUUUUUCGCAAUGCAAGGUAAAGUGUAGAUGUGCUCUAACUGGGCUUAGAUUGCAGCGACACAUUAUGCAUCUACAAGGCUUGGUUGCACAUGGAAAAAGAUAGAGAGAGAAAUGUAGACGCAGGACCGGGAGAAAAACAUUCAACGAGACGUGAUUGCACGGACAUAGAACUAGAUAUAAGACAAGAGUUAAAGAAAAAUAAAGGAACUAAAUUUUCUUCUGCACACUAAGCAUGAAUGGAGUUGUAGUAUCUGAGAUCAAAAUUUAAUUUAUUCCAAGAUGCAGAACAAAAACGUGAUACUCGUAAUGGUUACAUAGGAACAUAAGUAGAUAAGAAAAAUAGCAAAAAGAUAGUGGUCUACCAGAGAGGGCACAUGUGCCUCAAUUGGCCUAUAGCAUAGCGACUCAUUAUCCUUCCACCGCUGGUGGCGGGCGGUACUCGCUGCUCUGUGAAGCCAGCCUCACGCAAUGUCUGCCACUUUAGGUGUUGGGAUGCAAAGGCUUUCGCCAAGGCAUCCGAAACCCACUACACAACUUGGAAUGGGUGGUCCACAGUUGGUAGCACUAGACCCAGGCACAUGCACCACAAUUGACAUCCACACUACCUUAUUGCCCCCGCUCGGGUUACAAGCAAUCGCUACUUGCUCAGCGAGUGAGGGGGUUCAAGACUACCUAUUUAAGGUGGUGUUGUACUCUAUGAGCCGGUGGUGUGGUAUUUACCAACUACAAAUAGUGUCAUGCAUGUGACUUGCUAGUUGACAAUGUCUGUUGUCAAGCUAGGUGUGGGCUAUGGAUGAAGCACAUUAGGAUAUAGUAGGCCUAUUUUGUUUUUUGUUGUUUUUGGGCCACUAUGGACUUUAUGUUGAUGUUGUGAAUUUUUUUUCUUGUGUUUCCUCUUCCUACAAUGUGGAAAGUGGGUGCGUCAGAGAAGAAAGAAAGAGUGGCUAGCAUUGAUUUUACGUCAUACCAUUGAGAACACUAAUCAGAAGCAGAAGCAACAAUAUUUCAUACAUAUACAACACUUGUAAUCCAUAUAAACAACAUUCCUUUAAAAUAUAAUAUAAACCACAUGAUUUAUAUCCUGGGUCGGCUAUCUCCACAAAGGGCAAGAAAACGCUCCAAGUUUGUAGUAUAGCACUAAAAGUGUCGAUUCUCACGAUUUCUUCCCGACAUAUACAAACUAGACAGUAAUCACAUAAAAUAAAGAAAUAUGUGUUAACACGAACUUAUAGCAUGUAUUUCAACAUAUAGAUUGUUGAUUAUUAUGGUAGAUUAUAUAAAAUAGGGGUUCCCGAAGAAAUACAUAAAAACAAGAGCAUUAAAAUUUCCUUUUCAGAUCUGGCUAUCUGGUAAAAGGAGUUGGAGUAACUGAGUUUCCAAAUUUGUGACGUAGCUCUAUAGAAGGAAUAUAAAUACGUUGGAAAAAUUCUAUAAGGAAAGGUUUAAUACAAGUAGGGCUAAGAAAAACUCAAUGAGGCUUUGGUCGCAUGGUCACAAAACUUGAGACAAGAAACACGAAGACACCAAGGUAAUUAGUAUGAGAGUUUUCCAAAUUUGGUGUCUUGAUGUAGAAAAAAUAAAUAUAUGACAAACUUGUUUUUCGCAAGGCAUGGAUAAAUAAGUGGGGGUGAGCAAUAAAUUUCAUCCUAGAUUUAGAAGGAAUAAAUAUAUCACUUAAUAUGUUUUUUCACAAUGCCAAGUUAAUCAGGUGGGAGCGAGAAACAAUUCUAGCGAGGCUAGGUUGUACUAGCCCAAAACUACAUACAACAGAGGAAAAAUGAAGAAAAUGAUGGUCUACCAAAUAUGGUGCAUGAGCCUUAAGGUGCACCUAGAGGGAAGUAGAAGAAAUAAAUAUAUAAUAGCAUAUGUUUUUCGCAAUGCAAGGUAAAGUGUAGAUGUGCUCUAACUGGGCUUAGAUUGCAGCGACACAUUAUGCAUCUACAAGGCUUGGUUGCACAUGGAAAAAGAUAGAGAGAGAAAUGUAGACGCAAGACCGGGAGAAAAACAUUCAAUGAGACGUGAUUGCACGGACAUAGAACUAGAUAAAAGACAAGAGUUAAAGAAAAAUAAAGGAACUAAAUUUUCUUCUGCACACUAAGCAUGAAUGGAGUUGUAGUAUCUGAGAUCAAAAUUUAAUUUAUUCCAAGAUGCAGAACAAAAACGUGAUACUCGUAAUGGUUACAUAGGAACAUAAGUAGAUAAGAAAAAUAGCAAAAAGAUAGUGGUCUACCAGAGAGGGCACAUGUGCCUCAAUUGGCCUAUAGCAUAGCGACUCAUUAUCCUUCCACCGCUGGUGGCGGGCGGUACUCGCUGCUCUGUGAAGCCAGCCUCACGCAAUGUCCGCCACUUUAGGUGUUGGGAUGCAAAGGCUUUUGCCAAGGCAUCCGAAACCCACUACACAACUUGGAAUGGGUGGUCCACAGUUUGUAGCACUAGACCCAGGCACAUGCACCACAAUUGACAUCCACACUACCUUAUUGCCCCCGCUCGGGUUACAAGCAAUCGCUACUUGCUCAACGAGUGAGGGGGUUCAAGACUACCUAUUUAAGGUGGUGUUGUACUCUAUGAGCCGGCGGUGUGGUAUUUACCAACUACAAAUAGUGUCAUGCAUGUGACUUGCUAGUUGACAAUGUCUGUUGUCAAGCUAGGUGUGGGCUAUGGAUGAAGCACAUUAGGAUAUAGUAGGCCUAUUUUGUUUUUUGUUGUUUUUGGGCCACUAUGGACUUUAUGUUGAUGUUGUGAAUUUUUUUUCUUGUGUUUCCUCUUCCUACGAUGUGGAAAGUGGGUGCGUCAGAGAAGAAAGAAAGAGUGGCUAGCAUUGAUUUUACGUCAUACCAUUGAGAACACUAAUCAGAAGCAGAAGCAACAAUAUUUCAUACAUAUACAACACUUGUAAUCCAUAUAAACAACAUUCCUUUAAAAUAUAAUAUAAACCACAUGAUUUAUAUCCUGGGUCAGCUAUCUCCACAAAGGGCAAGAAAACGCUCCAAGUUUGUAGUAUAGCACUAAAAGUGUCGAUUCUCACGAUUUCUUCCCGACAUAUACAAACUAGACAGUAAUCACAUAAAAUAAAGAAAUAUGUGUUAACACGAACUUAUAGCAUGUAUUUCAACAUAUAGAUUGUUGAUUAUUAUGGUAGAUUAUAUAAAAUAGGGGUUCCCGAAGAAAUACAUAAAAACAAGAGCAUUAAAAUUUCCUUUUCAGAUCUGGCUAACUGGUAAAGGGAGUUGGAGUAUCUGAGUUUCCAAAUUUGGGACGUCGCUCUAUAGAAGGAAUAUAAAUACAUUGGAAAAAAUUCUACAAGGAAAGGUUUAAUACAAGUAGCGCUAAGAAAAACUCAAUGAGGCUUUGGUCGCUUGGUCACAAAACUUGAGACAAGAAACACGAAGACACCAAGGUAAUUAGUAUGAGAGUUUUCCAAAUUUGGUGUCUUGAUGUAGAAAAAAUAAAUAUAUGACAAACUUGUUUUUUCGUAAGGCAUGGAUAAAUAAGUGGGGGUGAGCAAUAAAUUUCAUCCUAGAUUUAGAAGGAAUAAAUAUAUCACUAAAUAGGUUUUUUCACAAUGCCAAGUUAAUCAGGUGGGAGCGAGAAACAAUUCUAGCGAGGCUAGGUUGUACUAGCCCAAAACUACAUACAACAGAGGAAAAAUGAAGAAAAUGAUGGUCUACCAAAUAUGGCGCAUGAGCCUUAAGGUGCACCUAGAGGGAAGUAGAAGAAAUAAAUAUAUAAUGGCAUAUGUUUAUCGCAAUGCAAGGUAAAGUGUAGAUGUGCUCUAACUGGGCUUAGAUUGCAGCGACACAUUAUGCAUCUACAAGGCUUGGUUGCACAUGGAAAAAGAUAGAGAGAGAAAUGUAGAUGCAGGACCGGGUGAAAAACAUUCAAUGAGACGUGAUUGCACGGACAUAGAACUAGAUAUAAGACAAGAGUUAAAGAAAAAUAAAGGAACUAAAUUUUCUUCUGCACACUAAGCAUGAAUGGAGUUGUAGUAUCUGAGAUCAAAAUUUAAUUUAUUCCAAGAUGCAGAACAAAAAUGUGAUACUCGUAAUGGUUACAUAGGAGCAAAAGUAGAUAAGAAAAAUAGCAAAAAGAUAGUGGUCUACCAGAGAGGGCACAUGUGCCUCAAUUGUCUUAUAGCAUAGCGACUCAUUAUCCUUCCACCGCUGGUGGCGGGCGGUACUCGCUGCUCUGUGAAGCCAGCCUCACGCAAUGUCCGCCACUUUAGGUGUUGGGAUGCAAAGACUUUCGCCAAGGCAUCCGAAACCCACUACACAACUUGGAAUGGGUGGUCCACUGUUUGUAGCACUAGACCCAGGCACAUGCACCACAAUUGACAUCCACACUACCUUAUUGCCCCGCUCGGGUUACAAGCAAUCGCUACUUGCUCAGCGAGUGAGGGGGUUCAAGACUACCUAUUUAAGGUGGUGUUGUACUCUAUGAGCCGGCGGUGUGGUAUUUACCAACUACAAAUAGUGUCAUGCAUGUGACUUGCUAGUUGACAAUGUCUGUUGUCAAGCUAGGUGUGGGCUAUGGAUGAAGCACAUUAGGAUAUAGUAGGCCUAUUUUGUUUUUUGUUGUUUUUGGGCCACUAUGGACUUUAUGUUGAUGUUGUGAAAUUUUUUUCUUGUGUUUCCUCUUCCUACGAUGUGGAAAGUGGGUGCGUCAGAGAAGAAAGAAAGAGUGGCUAGCAUUGAUUUUACGUCAUACCAUUGAGAACACUAAUCAGAAGCAGAAGCAACAAUAUUUCAUACAUAUACAACACUUGUAAUCCAUAUAAACAACAUUCCUUUAAAAUAUAAUAUAAACCACAUGAUUUAUAUCCUGGGUCGGCUAUCUCCACAAAGGGCAAGAAAACGCUCCAAGUUUGUAGUAUAGCACUAAAAGUGUCGAUUCUCACGAUUUCUUCCCGACAUAUACAAACUAGACAGUAAUCACAUAAAAUAAAGAAAUAUGUGUUAACACGAACUUAUAGCAUGUAUUUCAACAUAUAGAUUUUUGAUUAUUAUGGUAGAUUAUAUAAAAUAGGGGUUCCCGAAGAAAUACAUAAAAACAAGAGCAUUAAAAUUUCCUUUUCAGAUCUGGCUAUCUGGUAAAAGGAGUUGGAGUAACUGAGUUUCCAAAUUUGUGACGUAGCUCUAUAGAAGGAAUAUAAAUACGUUGGAAAAAUUCUAUAAGGAAAGGUUUAAUACAAGUAGGGCUAAGAAAAACUCAAUGAGGCUUUGGUCGCAUGGUCACAAAACUUGAGACAAGAAACACGAAGACACCAAGGUAAUUAGUAUGAGAGUUUUCCAAAUUUGGUGUCUUGAUGUAGAAAAAAUAAAUAUAUGACAAAUUUGUUUUUUCGCAAGGCAUGGAUAAAUAAGUGGGGGUGAGCAAUAAAUUUCAUCCUAGAUUUAGAAGGAAUAAAUAUAUCACUAAAUACAUUUUUUCACAAUGCCAAAUUAAUCAGGUGGGAGCGAGAAACAAUUGUAGCGAGGCUAGGUUGUACUAGCCCAAAACUACAUACAACAGAGGAAAAAUGAAGAAAAUGAUGGUCUACCAAAUAUGGCGCAUGAGCCUUAAGGUGCACCUAGAGGGAAGUAGAAGAAAUAAAUAUAUAAUAGCAUAUGUUUUUCGCAAUGCAUGGUAAAGUGUAGAUGUGCUCUAACUGGGCUUAGAUUGCAGCGACACAUUAUGCAUCUACAAGGCUUGGUUGCACAUGGAAAAAGAUACAAAAAGAAAUGUAGACGCAGGACCGGGAGAAAAACAUUCAAUGAGACGUGAUUGCACGGACAUAGAACUAGAUAUAAGACAAGAGUUAAAGAAAAAUAAAGGAACUAAAUUUUCUUCUGCACACUAAGCAUGAAUGGAGUUGUAGUAUCUGAGAUCAAAAUUUAAUUUAUUCCAAGAUGCAGAACAAAAAUUUGAUACUCGUAAUGGUUACAUAGGAGCAAAAGUAGAUAAGAAAAAUAGCAAAAAGAUAGUGGUCUACCAGAGAGGGCACAUGUGCCUCAAUUGGCCUAUAGCAUAGCGACUCAUUAUCCUUCCACCGCUGGUGGCGGGCGGUACUCGCUGCUCUGUGAAGCCAGCCUCACACAAUGUCCGCCACUUUAGGUGUUGGGAUGCAAAGGCUUUCGCCAAGGCAUCCGAAACCCACUACACAACUUGGAAUGGGUGGUCCACUGUUUGUAGCACUAGACCCAGGCACAUGCACCACAAUUGACAUCCACACUACCUUAUUGCCCCGCUCGGGUUACAAGCAAUCGCUACUUGCUCAGCGAGUGAGGGGGUUCAAGACUACCUAUUUAAGGUGGUGUUGUACUCUAUGAGCCGGCGGUGUGGUAUUUACCAACUACAAAUAGUGUCAUGCAUGUGACUUGCUAGUUGACAAUGUCUGUUGUCAAGCUAGGUGUGGGCUAUGGAUGAAGCACAUUAGGAUAUAGUAGGCCUAUUUUGUUUUUUGUUGUUUUUGGGCCACUAUGGACUUUAUGUUGAUGUUGUGAAAUUUUUUUCUUGUGUUUCCUCUUCCUACGAUGUGGAAAGUGGGUGCGUCAGAGAAGAAAGAAAGAGUGGCUAGCAUUGAUUUUACGUCAUACCAUUGAGAACACUAAUCAGAAGCAGAAGCAACAAUAUUUCAUACAUAUACAACACUUGUAAUCCAUAUAAACAACAUUCCUUUAAAAUAUAAUAUAAACCACAUGAUUUAUAUCCUGGGUCGGCUAUCUCCACAAAGGGCAAGAAAACGCUCCAAGUUUGUAGUAUAGCACUAAAAGUGUCGAUUCUCACGAUUUCUUCCCGACAUAUACAAACUAGACAGUAAUCACAUAAAAUAAAGAAAUAUGUGUUAACACAAACUUAUAGCAUGUAUUUCAACAUAUAGAUUGUUGAUUAUUAUGGUAGAUUAUAUAAAAUAGGGGUUCCCGAAGAAAUACAUAAAAACAAGAGCAUUAAAAUUUCCUUUUCAGAUCUGGCUAUCUGGUAAAAGGAGUUGGAGUAACUGAGUUUCCAAAUUUGUGACGUAGCUCUAUAGAAGGAAUAUAAAUACGUUGGAAAAAUUCUAUAAGGAAAGGUUUAAUACAAGUAGGGCUAAGAAAAACUCAAUGAGGCUUUGGUCGCAUGGUCACAAAACUUGAGACAAGAAACACGAAGACACCAAGGUAAUUAGUAUGAGAGUUUUCCAAAUUUGGUGUCUUGAUGUAGAAAAAAUAAAUAUAUGACAAAUUUGUUUUUUCGCAAGGCAUGGAUAAAUAGGUGGGGGUGAGCAAUAAAUUUCAUCCUAGAUUUAGAAGGAAUAAAUAUAUCACUAAAUAUGUUUUUUCACAAUGCCAAGUUAAUCAGGUGGGAGCGAGAAACAAUUCUAGCGAGGCUAGGUUGUACUAGCCCAAAACUACAUACAACAGAGGAAAAAUGAAGAAAAUGAUGGUCUACCAAAUAUGGCGCAUGAGCCUUAAGGUGCACCUAGAGGGAAGUAGAAGAAAUAAAUAUAUAAUAGCAUAUAUUUUUCGCAAUGCAUGGUAAAGUGUAGAUGUGCUCUAACUGGGCUUAGAUUGCAGCGACACAUUAUGCAUCUACAAGGCUUGGUUGCACAUGGAAAAAGAUACAGAAAGAAAUGUAGACGCAGGACCGGGAGAAAAACAUUCAAUGAGACGUGAUUGCACAGACAUAGAACUAGAUAUAAGACAAGAGUUAAAGAAAAAUAAAGGAACUAAAUUUUCUUCUGCACACUAAGCAUGAAUGGAGUUGUAGUAUCUGAGAUCAAAAUUUAAUUUAUUCCAAGAUGCAGAACAAAAAUGUGAUACUCGUAAUGGUUACAUAGGAACAAAAGUAGUUAAGAAAAAUAGCAAAAAGAUAGUGGUCUACCAGAGAGGGCACAUGUGCCUCAAUUGGCCUAUAGCAUAGCGACUCAUUAUCCUUCCACCGCUGGUGGCGGGCGGUACUCGCUGCUCUGUGAAGCCAGCCUCACGCAAUGUCCGCCACUUUAGGUGUUGGGAUGCAAAGGCUUUCGCCAAGGCAUCCGAAACCCACUACACAACUUGGAAUGGGUGGUCCACAGUUUGUAGCACUAGACCCAGGCACAUGCACCACAAUUGACAUCCACACUACCUU
rnacentral:lncRNA from 1 species